GAGCGGAGCAGCAUCGAGCAAGACGAAGCCCAGCCGGGCGCUCCAGCUCCGUUCCCGCUCGUCAAUGCGGACAGCAGCGACAACAGUGCUGAACGGACCGAAGUUGCGGACGCAACUACUCCCCUUUCCCUGGAAGAUGUGAUCCAACAGCUCCUCCAACAGAAAGCUGUGAUUCAACAGCUUCAGGCAGAGAUGGCGGCCAAAGACCAGAAGACCAAAGCUGUGGAGCAGGCUUUCCGUCAGGAAAUCAAAGCUCUCCAACAACGAUCGAUCUACCGAUGUGAGUGGGGCACGUUGACAAUUCCCGGUUACAGCCUCAGUGAUGGCUCUGGCACUCGCUACCAGGACCUGACCGCCACGUUCAGCAGGUCCUUCUCGACGACCCCUGUGGUGACUAUCGGC